GGGCCCGCACAAGCGGUGGAGCAUGUGGUUUAAUUCGAUGCAACGCGAAGAACCUUACCAGGGCUUGACAUACUACAAAUCCUUUUGAGAAAAAGGAGUGCCUUCGGGAAUGUAGAUACAGGUGGUGCAUGGCUGUCGUCAGCUCGUGUCGUGAGAUGUUGGGUUAAGUCCCGCAACGAGCGCAACCCACGUCUUUAGUUGCCAGCAUUUAGUUGGGCACUCUAGAGAGACCGCCGGUGAUAAACCGGAGGAAGGUGUGGAUGACGUCAAGUCAUCAUGCCCCUUACAUCCUGGGCUACACACGUACUACAAUGCUACGGACAAAGGGCAGCAAGUUCGCGAGGACAAGCAAAUCCCAUAAACCGUGGCUCAGUUCAGAUCGUAGGCUGCAACUCGCCUACGUGAAGGAGGAAUC
rnacentral:rRNA from 1 species